rnacentral:lncRNA from 1 species
CAAUGUGUUCCAGUGAAUGAGGAAAGAAACUGUGUGAUCUAAUGGAAACAGACUUCCUUUAUCUUUCUGUUAACCAUUAACGCCAUUGAAUGGCAGUGCACGCCUAAAGACAAGCCCUGUUCAAACAAUAAAACUGUUUCUGAGAGGGCGAAAUAGAGCUGCUGCUACAUGAAACAAAGAAACGUAGGUUGACCAGCAAUUGUCUAUCUUAGGAGUUAGGACACAUUUUUGACAUCGAUCUAAACUGAUGUAAGCUACAGUAUGACUGUAUGUUGCAACUAUGACAUCAUGAGGUGACUAUAUAUUUUGUCCAACAGAAGUUAGAGGCUUGGCAGCACUGAGCCCCAUAAGGACAUUUCACUUGUCCAUCUCACAAUGUUUACAAGUACAUUUCGUUUUUAAUAUUGUCCUAUGGGCUUUUUUUCUUUGAAACAUUUCAUUUUUAAAAUCAAAUAAUGCUCCUCAGUGAGGACUUUUUGUUUGUUUUAUGUUCAUUUUGUGAAUAAUUUGUGAAUACUUUGUGGAUAAUUGAUGCAAUACUUUGAUAAUACAGAGAUUGUUUUCUAGCAAAUAUGUCAGACUUUCAUUUUUAGGACUAAGUGCUACUGAGAAGGUGUUUGUUGUGAACUUGACCUGGCACCUGUAUUCUACAUCCCCGUCCACAGUGGUGAUAAGCAAUAUUAACGACCUUUGUACCCUAUGGAUUUCCAUACCUUUAUUUAUACAGACAUUACUUUUGUAUGUCCAUAUGGCUGCCUCAUCAUGCUUUAUGAUUCCCAAGGUGAAAACAAAACAUUUUACCUGUUUGUAUUUCCAACCGACAAUUCUCAGAUUUUUGCCAAACACAGUACCUACACAUUGACUAGAGUAACAUAUGAGUGUUACUGUGUGGUGACAACACUUUGAUUAUCUACAAUAGGCUAGCUUAGACCUUGACACCUUGUUACUCCACACAAUAAAGUAUGGGAGCGGUGUACUGUAUUAUGGUUUUGAGCUUCAGCCAGGGUCCUUUUAUCACAUUGACAGUGAUUAUAUGAGGAACUGCAACGUUUUUUUGAAUGGAUGAGAGAUCCUACAUCUGUAGGCUACCCUGCCAAAUUUCAGGUGGCUGAAAUUGUGGACAUUUUACAUAUACUAUACAUUCAUGAUAGACUUGUAUGAAGAAAUAAUCACACAGAUCUCAAAUCAUUAGUCACCAAAC